rnacentral:misc_RNA from 1 species
UCAAACUUGGUCAUUUAGAGGAAGUAAAAGUCGUAACAAGGUCUCCGUUGGUGAACCAGCGGAGGGAUCAUUACAAAACUGAGUUUAACAGCUCAUUUAAACCCAUUGUGAACCUAUACCAACUGUUGCUUCGGCGGAACCGCCCUGGGCGCGCUUGCGUGCCCCAGACUAUGGCGCCCGCCGGAGACCUCAACUAUAAUUCUUGCCUUUUGUAGCGUAUCUCUGAGUGUGAUUUUACCACAAAAUCAAAUUAAAACUUUCAACAACGGAUCUCUUGGCUCUGGCAUCGAUGAAGAACGCAGC